UUGUGGAAAAUGUGAGGCUGCCUAAGCUGAAGAAAUGGAAACUGUGGUGAGCUUAAAAAGGAGAAGGCUGUAUUGAGAGAAGAGAAAAGGUCCUGCAAGGUCUUCCAUGGUAAGAACAGUAAUUUCCUGCUCAGGCUUUGCCAAGAAGUAAUGCAGGUUCUUGGAUGGAGA